ensembl:snRNA U6 U6 spliceosomal RNA
GUGCUCACUUUGACAGUACAUACACUAAAAUUGGAAUGAUACAAAGAUUAGCAUGGCCCCUGCGGAAGGAUGACAGGAAAAUUCGUGAAAUGUUCCAUAUUUGU